GCGUCGGCCGAGUUCGGAGCGAGAGUCAAGGACGCGCUAAGCAUGUAGAGUCGGGGAUGGAGGACUUCCGGACGCGGGUUCGAUUCCCGCCGCCUCCACCA
rnacentral:tRNA from 1 species